UCGGGUCCAGAGAGACCAUCUCCAGAGAGGAAGGUUGGCUUCAGGGCUGCCCAGCUGGUGCAGAUGGGGUCUGGGCCUCUCCAAGAGUGACUCCCACCUGCAGCUCUCUGACCAGACCAGAAACCCGCAGGAAGAGCUGGCGUGAGCCCAGGGCCCCAUGCAGCAUGCUGCUUGAGGCCUGGGUGCUCCACUGACGUGGCCAGGGACACCUAUCACAGCCAACCUGCAAAGGAGUAUGAAAAAGUCUCCUCCCAUCCUUCCUACCAGGCCAGCAUUUCUACUCUGUGCAGCUACCAGCGAGGAGGGCCUGUGGGCUCAAAGACCCAACAGGAAUUCCUGCAGAAGCCCCAUAGCUUGAAGAGGGACCGUGGGAUGAAUGAGCCUGCAUGCAGCCUGGAAUGCAAAGAUCAGCCCUCCUCAGUGACCCCGGGAGCCCAGGAAGAUCAAGGAUCGAGACUGUCGCCCUGGACCUGCCUGCUGUGUAGCUCUGGGUGCAAGUCAAAGAUCAAGCUGAAGUAAAGUUCACCUGCAUCUCGUUAUUGGGCCAUGAGAAAUAGCAGCCCGACCCUCAGUUUGAUCCAGGAACAAUCUCACCAGGGCUUGCCAUCAGCCCAGGACAAUUGACAAGGAUGAAAUGGCAUCUUGGCGCUUUUGCUGAACAAGGCAACACUGGGUCUGUCUGACCUGAGGACACUCCAUCCCAGCAGGACCCUAAUGGAGCAACCCACCUGGUCUUUCACCUGUCAGAGGAAAGCACCUCUUCAAGCACAUGGCCAGGGAGGCUGAUGGGGCUGGAAAGCAGGAACCAUACACCACCUGGGUCUGUGCCUGGGAAGGUCUGCUGCUACCACCUCUUGGGGGUCCCCACCCUGAGCUCAGUGGGCCCCCAGCCCACACCACAGGCUGAGGGAGGCUUGGUUGUCAUGGUGACGUCCAGGUACCCAGAAUAAAGAAGGGGCUGCUGGGGAGUGGCACAGUCAUCUGUACAUCAAAAACAGUUGCUGGCUCUGCUCCUUUCCAGCUUUGCACUGACCUGUCUAUCCAGGCCUCACUUGGGCCAGAGCCCAGCUUCACGAAGCCUUGCCUGGCCUUGUCAGGCACAAUCAAUUGUUCCCUCAUCUGAUCAGCCCUUACACCCGUCCACGGCAGGCUGGCCACUGCACUAUGCUAACUUGAGCUGCGUCUGUUCCCUGGCCAGGGUGGGGUGCUCCCCUGCGGUCUACUUUAAUGAGUCCACCCCCACCACAGCUCUCUGGGAGGGUUCCUAGGCAGACUGCACCUUGGCUGAGCCAAUAAGUGGAACCCACCCCCCCUUCCUAUCUACUCCUUUGACCCAGAUCAAGCAUCAGCUCCCGUGAGCUCUUCUCCCAAGAAUUUUAGUCCUGUUCAUCUCUGUGUUGACACCGUUCAUGUCCAAUAAGCUUCUCUUGCAGUUGAUGGGUGUGGGGUGGGGUGAGGGCAAGAGGGCCCAAAUGGGCUGCUGAAGCCAGGCCUGGGAAGGAGGGGCUAGGGAGCAGUGGGGAUAUGGGAAAUGAGGGCAGGCCACGGCAUAAGGAAGGGGAAGGCUGGCUUCCUGGCCCCUUGCUGGCCAGACACACUGUCCUGGAGCUCUGAGUAGCUUUAAACCAUACCCACCAGGAAUUAAGUGUUGAGAGAAAAUGAGCCUGCAGGUGCUGGGGUUUGGAACAAUGCCAUGUGAAGAGGCCUCCUUUCAAGGCUGCUGGAUCAGGUGACCUUGAGGACAUCUCACACUGAGAGGGUGGGGUACAGCGUGUAAAGGUGUGCCUAAUGGAUGCCAGUGUGUGGAGGAGGGCCCACUCCAUCCCAGGAGGCAGAUGUUGGUCAGGAGCGUGAAUGGGGGACUUAGCUCCUGGUCAUAGAUAUGUGCAGGCGUCAGCUGUAGGACUCUGGUGAACAGGAGAGGCAGGUCCAGGUGUAUUUACAUUUCUUUCUGACUCUGCCUAAUUAUUUCUCCCAAUUGCUCCCACUUUGAGCCCAGCCCAAGGUUGUCCUUUGAUCAACACUGCCAUGCCUCCCAACGCUAAUCUGCCAACCAUAAGCGUCCCGAGCUUCUCUCGCCCGGACAUUAACCAUGAGUCCUCUGGGCUGGCAUGUGCAAUGGGCCCAGCCGGAGUGCUGCUGGGAAACCUGCUCAGGGGGCGAGCUGAGCCUCCUGGGAUAAUUCUGACUAAAUGAUUCUUCACGGAGUUGACUUGAAAUGUGAUGAAUGGGUCCCCAGUGCUCUUAAAGCCUCCGAAGUCAGAGCCACAGAAAAGACUCUGGGAGUGGCCUUGAGUCCAGCCCUGGAGAAAACCAAAGGUUGGAGUCAUGAAGUAACUGCUUAUCCACUCAGUGACGGCAGAGUUGAAACUAGGACCCAGGACUUGCCUCCUUCUUCUUCUCAUGCCACAAAGAUAAGAACAUGCAUUUCCUGACAUGCAAUUUGCUAACCUCUUCCCAGGUUAUGUGUGUGAAAGUACCAGGCUACCAGAUGGCGUUGAGUCCGAAUUAAGGUGGUGUCUCAUUGCAUUUCACAUCAUGACCAAGCAAUGUCUUACCACCCCACAAAAAGCCAACUGAGGCUUCCUUGAGUGGAAAGACCACAGUGUUGAGGGCAGGGGCUCUGUGAGCAGGUACCUAGAGCUAGAAGUCAAAACAAGGAAAUGUUUCGAGGGAGGAAGGCAAGUUAAAUGUCAGGCCUCUGAGCCCAAGUUAAGCCAUCAUCAUAUGCCCUGUGAUUUGCACGUAUACAUCCAGAUGGCCUGAAGCAACUGAAGAUCCACAAAAGAAGUGAAAAUAGCCUGUUACCGCCUUAACUGAUGACAUUCCACCACUGUGAUUUGUUCCUGCCCCACCCUAACUGAUCAAUUGACUUUGUGACAAUACACCCUCCCCACCCUUGAGAAGGUACUUUGUAAUAUACUCCCCGACCCUUAGGAAGGUGCUUGGUAAUAUUCUCCCCACCCUUGAGAAUAUACUUUGUAAGAUCCACCCCCUGCCCACAAAAAAUUGCUCCUAACUCCACCACCUAUUCCAAACCUAGAAGAACUAAUGAAA
rnacentral:lncRNA from 1 species